rnacentral:rRNA from 1 species
UCCAGACUCCUACGGGAGGCAGCAGUGGGGGAUAUUGCACAAUGGGGGGAGCCCUGAUGCAGCGACGCCGCGUGGGUGAGGAAGUACCCCGGUAUGUAAAGCCCUUUCGGCAGGGAAGAAAAUGACGGUACCUGGCGAAGAAGCCCCGGCUAACUACGUGCCAGCAGCCGCGGUAAUACGUAGGGGGCAAGCGUUAUCCGGAUUCACUGGGUGUAAGGGGAGCGUAGACGGCAGUGCAAGUCUGGAGUGAAAGGCGGGGGCUCAACCCCCGGACUGCUCUGGAAACUGUACGGCUGGAGUGCAGGAGAGGUAAGUGGAAUUCCUAGUGUAGCGGUGAAAUGCGUAGAUAUUAGGAGGAACACCAGUGGCGAAGGCGGCUUACUGGACUGUAACUGACGUUGAGGCUCGAAAGCGUGGGGAGCAAACAGGAUUAGAUACCCCUGUA